UACGUAGGGUGCGAGCGUUGUCCGGAAUUAUUGGGCGUAAAGGGCUCGUAGGCGGUUUGUCGCGUCGGGGAGUGAAAACUCAGGGCUUAACCCUGAGCCUGCUUCCGAUACGGGCAGACUAGAGGUAUGCAGGGGAGAACGGAAUUCCUGGUGUAGCGGUGAAAUGCGCAGAUAUCAGGAGGAACACCGGUGGCGAAGGCGGUUCUCUGGAACGCAACUGACGCUGAGACGCGAAAGCGUGGGGAGCAAACAGG
rnacentral:rRNA from 1 species